rnacentral:rRNA from 1 species
GAUGAACGCUGGCGGCGUGCCUAAUACAUGCCAGUCGAGCGAACGGACGAGAAGCUUGCUUCUCUGAUGUUAGCGGCGGACGGGUGAGUAACACGUGGAUAACCUACCUAUAAGACUGGGAUAACUUCGGGAAACCGGAGCUAAUACCGGAUAAUAUUUUGAACCGCAUGGUUCAAAAGUGAAAGACGGUCUUGCUGUCACUUAUAGAUGGAUCCGCGCUGCAUUAGCUAGUUGGUAAGGUAACGGCUUACCAAGGCAACGAUGCAUAGCCGACCUGAGGGGGUGAUCGGCCACACGGGAACUGAGACACGGUCCAGACUCCUACGGGAGGCAGCAGUAGGGAAUCUUCCGCAAUGGGCGAAAGCCUGACGGAGCAACGCCGCGUGAGUGAUGAAGGUCUUCGGAUCGUAAAACUCUGUUAUUAGGGAAGAACAUAUGUGUAAGUAACUGUGCACAUCUUGACGGUACCUAAUCAGAAAGCCACGGCUAACUACGUG